GUUUUAAUAGUUUAAACAAAACGUUGGUCUUGUAAAUCAAAAACGAAAAAAAAAAUUCUUAAAACU
rnacentral:tRNA from 1 species